AACGAACGCUGGCGGCAUGCCUAACACAUGCAAGUCGAACGAGACCUUCGGGUCUAGUGGCGCACGGGUGCGUAACGCGUGGGAACCUUCCCUUAGGUUCGGAAUAACUCCCCGAAAGGGGUGCUAAUACCGGAUAAUGUCUUCGGACCAAAGAUUUAUCGCCUUUGGAUGGGCCCGCGUUGGAUUAGCUGUUUGGUAGGGUAAAAGCUUACAAAGGCGACGAUCCAUAGCUGGUCUGAAAGGAUGGUCAGCAAAACUGGGACUGGGACACGGCCAGACUCCUACGGGAGGCAGCAGUGGGGAAUAUUGGAAAAUGGGCGAAAGCCUGAACCAGCAAUGCCGCGUGAGUGAUGAAGGCCUUAGGGUUGUAAAGCUCUUUUACCCGGGAUGAUAAUGACAGUACCGGGAGAAUAAGCUCCGGCUAACUCCGUG
rnacentral:rRNA from 1 species